rnacentral:lncRNA from 1 species
UAGGAAAAAAAAAUGUAGUUGAAUUGUCCGAAGCGGGGGAGCGGCGGCGUCCGGCAGCGCGAUGCCUCUUCCCCACGGGGCUCGCCCGGGGCCGCUCGCACCGCGCAGUCGGGGCUCGGUCCCGGGGAGCCGGGGCAGUGCGGGGACGGGGCGAGCAGAGCCCCGGCGGUGAGGUGGGGACGUGGGACGGCCUCCUCCUCACUUCUUCUAUCCCAAAGCUGCGUGGGCCGUCUGCGGAGCGCGUCGGGCCUCUGCCGGUUGUCGUUCUCAUCAGUUCCGCGCGUACCCUCGGCGUUCGCUUGUUUGUUCGGGGUGGGGGUUUUGGGAGCCCCGCGGUCGGGGACUUCGGCGGUGCCACAGUCCAAACGGUCCCGGCGGUGCCCCCCGGCCGCCCCUCUCCCCGCCCCGCCGCCCAGCUCCGUGGCUCAGGGCAGAACCCGCACACACCCCUCCCGUGCCCUCCGUUCGGCUGCGAACUUUCCGCCGGGGUGAGUUCUCCUUUAAGAAAAGGCACGGCUCCUUCUGCAUAUUGAACGCUGUUCGUCUGCAGCGCGCAGAUGACGCGGGGCCGGAGCGGGACGGCUGGGGCGUAAAUCACCGCUCUCUGCAAUGGCCCCAGCGGGGAACCCCGUGCCAUCGCCCCAUCCUCUGCUGAAGACACCGAAUCGCCCUCGCCCUGCGCCUGCGGACAGACCUCGGUGGAGAGCGGCGGCAGAACCCAACCGCGCAAUUUCUACCUGCAAGGCAGCAGAGUGUACAGCCCCCCACUCCCACCCCGCAUCGAACGCAGCCAUAACUCAAUGCAAACUGCGGGGAGAGGCGUUUUCCACGUGGCAGCAGAUGAUGGAGGAGAUGUCCCACUCCUCUCCGCUGCUCGUACCGCGUGGGGUCGUUCCCUCCGGCUGCGGCGGUGCCGUCCUUCUCGCAGAGGUGCAGGAAACAGAUUCCCACCUUUGGUCUCCCACCGAAGCGAAUUGCUUUUUGGCUCAGCGCUCAUCCUAACCAACUUUCUCCCCCGUGUUUAUUUCACUGGUUGCGGCCGGCAAAGAAAAUCAAAUAAAAUAACGCUGAAACGUGAAAAAAAAAAAAAAAAAAAGAAAAAAA